rnacentral:rRNA from 2 species
UGAAGUGUGGACGCCAGUCUGCAUGGAGCCGGCCUUGAAAUACCACCCUUUAAUGUUUGAUGUUCUAACGUGGACCCGUGAUCCGGGUUGCGGACAGUGUCUGGUGGGUAGUUUGACUGGGGCGGUCUCCUCCUAAAGAGUAACGGAGGAGCACGAAGGUUGGCUAAUCCUGGUCGGACAUCAGGAGGUUAGUGCAAUGGCAUAAGCCAGCUUGACUGCGAGCGUGACGGCGCGAGCAGGUGCGAAAGCAGGUCAUAGUGAUCCGGUGGUUCUGAAUGGAAGGGCCAUCGCUCAACGGAUAAAAGGUACUCCGGGGAUAACAGGCUGAUACCGCCCAAGAGUUCAUAUCGACGGCGGUGUUUGGCACCUCGAUGUCGGCUCAUCACAUCCUGGGGCUGAAGUAGGUCCCAAGGGUAUGGCUGUUCGCCAUUUAAAGUGGUACGCGAGCUGGGUUUAGAACGUCGUGAGACAGUUC